rnacentral:rRNA from 1 species
GACAGAGGGUGCAAACGUUGUUCGGAAUUACUGGGCGUAAAGCGCGUGUAGGCGGCUAAGUAAGUCGGGCGUGAAAUCCCACGGCUCAACCGUGGAAGUGCACUCGAAACUGCAUAGCUAGAGUCCUGGAGAGGAAGGUGGAAUGCUUGGUGUAGAGGUGAAAUUCGUAGAUAUCAAGCGGAACACCGGUGGCGAAGGCGGCCUUCUGGACAGUGACGUGACGCUGAUGUGCGAAAGCGUGGGGAGCAAACAG